GGAGCAACCAGGGGCAGAGCAGCUGCGAGGGGCCCUCAGCGGCCUGUCCACCUCCUGGCCCUGGGAUGGUGCUUCCCACCGGCGGGCACGCAUAGCGGUCGGAGAUGGUGGCAGACAUGGCGCUCUUCUUCGUGGUUGCUGGAUUGCUGACGGCAGCUCUCUCAGGUCACCCAUCUCCGACCCCAUCUGACCAGCCCAACACCACCAGGGCAGAGAGCCAGACCUUGCAACCAGGGGAGCGACUCCAGGUCCGUCUGGUGAAUGGGAGCAGCCGCUGCGACGGGACAGUGGAGGUCUGGUUCCAGCAGUCGUGGCAGCCCGUGUGCGGGGCGCUCUGGGAGCUCAAUGCCUCCCACGCCCUGUGCAGCUCGCUGGACUGUGGCCAGGCUCAAGCUGGAACUCCGGUCCUGCAGACCCCGGAGCCGCCGCCCUGGGGAGCCGAGUGGAAUGCCAGCUGGGCCCCGACCACCACAGGGGCCCUGGCCCCCGCCGUCCAGUGCAGCGGCCCCGAAUGGCUGAGCUGCAAGGUGGUGGAGCGCGACUGCCGCAGCGACGAGCGGCCCGCCCAGGUCAACUGUACAGAAAAACGCGAUUUGAAAUUGGUGGGUGGUGGCAGCCCAUGUGAGGGCCGCGUGGAGAUGCUGCAGCACGGCCAGUGGGGUUCGGUGUGUGACGACACGUGGGACCUGGAGGAUGCUCACGUGGUGUGCCGGCAGCUGGGCUGCGGCUGGGCCGUCCAGGCCCUGCCCGGCUUGCACUUCGCCCCUGGCCAAGGACGCAUCCACUGGGACCAAGUGAACUGCACUGGGUUGGAGACCUACCUGUGGGACUGCCCGGGGCUGCCCGGAAAUGGGUACUGUGGCCACAAGGAGGACGCUGGAGUGGUGUGUUCAGAGCACCAGUCCUGGCGCCUGACCGGGGGCACUGACCCCUGCGAGGGGCAGGUGGAGGUGUACUUCCGAGGGGUCUGGAACACAGUGUGUGACAGUGAGUGGUACGACUCAGAGGCCAACGUGCUCUGCCAGGACUUGGGCUGUGGGACCGUGGCCCGGGUGCCCAAGGGGCUGCCCCACUCCUUGUCGGGCAAGAUGUACUACUCAUGCAAGGGAAGGGAGUCCACCCUCUCCAAAUGCUUCUGGCGGUUCAACAACUCCAACCUCUGCAGACAGUCCCAGGCAGCCAGGGUCCUCUGCUCAGGUGCCCGGAGUCUGCUCAAUCUGUCCACUACUGAAGUCCCUGCAAGUGGUCAGCCAGUCACUGUGGAAUCUUCUGUGAUGGUGAAAACAAAGGACUGGGAAUCUCGAGAGCUAAUGCUCCUCAUCCCCUGCAUCAUUCUGGGAAUUCUCCUUCUCAUCUCACUUGUUUUCAUAGCCAUCAUCCUCUUGAGAAUUAAAGGAAAAUACGUUCCCAAGCUGCCCAUCCAGGUCCAGGCCCCGCCCCCCGAAGACUGGCAUUCCAGCUCGGACUCAGACUAUGAGCACUAUGACUUCAGAACCCAGCCUCCUGUGGCCCUGACCACCUUCUACAAUUCCCAGCGGCACCGCUUCACAGAGGAGGAGGCCCAGCAGAACAGGUUCCAGAUGCCCCCCCUGGAGGAAGGACUGGAAGAGGUGCAUGCCUCCGAAGUUCCACCUGCCAACCCUGAACACUGCAUUGCACACCCUCCCUCCCGGGACCUUCCCCCACGGAGCAAAAGCAGCUCCAGCACAUCUUCGGGGGAGGUGUAUUGUAACAGCCCCAACAGCAAGCGACCUCUGUGGAGCUCUCAAGUGUUUUCAACAGAGAGGAACCCCCUCCUGGAGCAGCCCCCCAACUUGGAGCUGGUUGGCUCCCAGGCAACUAUUCCAGGGUCCCGUGCUCCCCAGCCUGACUUCUCCUCUGAUGAAGAAUAUGAUGACAUCGGAGCAGCCUAG
rnacentral:lncRNA from 1 species